rnacentral:rRNA from 1 species
CCUACGGGUGGCAGCAGUGAGGAAUAUUGGUCAAUGGGCGCGAGCCUGAACCAGCCACGUAGCGUGAAGGAUGACUGCCCUACGGGUUGUAAACUUCUUUUAUAAAGGAAUAAAGUGAGGCACGUGUGCCUUUUUUUAUUUACUUUAUGAAUACAGAUCUGCUAACUCCGUGCCAGCAGCCGAGUUAAUACGGAGGAUCCGAGCGUUAUCCGGAUUUCUUGGGUUUAAAGGGAGCGUAGAUGGGUUGUUAAGUCAGUUGUGAAAGUUUGCGGCUCAACCGUAAAAUUGCAAUUGAUACUGGCAGCCUUGAGUACAGGUGAGGUAGGCGGAAUUCGUGGUGUAGCGGUGAAAUGCUUAGAUAUCACGAAGAACUCCGAUUGCGAAGGCAGCCUACUAAACUGCCACUGACAUUGAUGCUCGAAAGUGUGGGUAUCAAACAGGAUUAGAUACCCCAGUAGUC